rnacentral:rRNA from 1 species
CGACCUUUUUGAGCCCAACAACUUCAGCCAAACAAACCUACAAACCCUCAAACAACCCUUAAUUUAAACCAAACCAUUUUUUCCGGCCAGUAAAUGAGAUUAAACCCCACCAUGGCCUUACAAGUACCGCAAGGGAACAGUGAAAGAAUAAUGAAAAACUCUAAGCAUAAAACAGCAAAGACCAACCCCUGUACCUCCUGCAUCAUGGUUUAGCAAAACCUCUUCAGACAAAGCGAACCUUUAGCCUGCCCCCCCGAAACCAAACGAGCUAUUUUUGGGCAGCUGUUAAUCUAGAGCACACCCGUCCCUGUAGCAAAAGGGUGGGAAGACCUAAAAAUAGAGGCAAAAAGCCAAUCGAGCUUGGUGAUAGCUGGCUGCUCAAUAAAAGAAUUUAAGUUCAACUUUAGGUAUGUGUAAAUUAUUUCCAAAAUUCAUUCUUCCUCCUAAAGAAAAUCAAUGGGGGUACAGCCCCAUUGAACCGGAAUACAGCCCGAACUGAGAGAAACCCACCUUUAUUAACCUAAGUAGGCUUCAAAGCAGCCACCAUACAAUUGCGUUACAGCAUCCAACCAAAAUAAUUUCAACAGCCCAAACUAUCUCCUGAUAUACUUCGAGCUAUUCUAUAUUAACAUAGAAAUACCAAUGCUAAAAUUAGUAAUAAGAAAUAAUAAUUUCUCUCUGCAUCCCCUUAAAUCAGAAUAGAAAAACUACUGAUAAUUACCACCACAUGACCCCACAUACACUAGAUAAAAGUCAUCAAAAAUUUGUUAACCCAACACAGGCAUGCACUAAAGAAAGACAAAAAGCCGUAAAAGGAACUCGGCAACAACCUGUCCCAACUGUUUACCAAAAACAUAGCCUUUAGCUUUACAAGUAUUAAAGGUCCCGCCUGCCCAGUGACUUUUUAAACGGCCGCGGUAUCCUAACCGUGCAAAGGUAGCAUAAUCACUUGUCCCCUAAAUAGGGACUGGAAUGAAUGGCUAAAUGAGGACAAAACUGUCUCUUACGGACUAGCCAAUGAAAUUGAUCCUCCAGUACAAAAGCUGGAAUAAACACAUAAGACGAGAAGACCCUGUGGAGCUUAAAAACCAAAAGUAUCAAAUAUGCUUCCUGGAUUUUUAGUUGGGGCGACUUCGGAGCAAAAAAAACCCUCCAAAAUAUGAAUUUAUUUAUUAAGACUAACACACCAAAAAUAAUUUUUAUAGACCCAGCAGUUAUUCUACUGUCUGAUCAAUGAACCAAGUUACCCCAGGGAUAACAGCGCCAUCCUCUUCUAGAGUCCCUAUCGACAAGAGGGUUUACGACCUCGAUGUUGGAUCAGGACACCCCUAUAGUGCAGCCGCUAUAAAAGGUUCGUUUGUUCAACGAUUAAAGUCCUACGUGAUCUGAGUUCAGACCGGAGAAAUCCAGGUCGGUUUCUAUCUAUGCAGCACUAUUUUUAGUACGAAAGGACCAAAAUAGUGGGACCUAUACUAAAUAAACGUCCCAAAAUAAACUACUGACUUCUACUAAAGUAGUUAUUAUGCUUUUCUCCUAAAUCAAAAUCAGGUUUA